UGGCCCCGCCCCAGGUGUUAGACCCCGCCCCCUCGAUUACGUCACUGAUCUACAAGAACAUGGACAGGUGGAAACGCGUCCGGCAGCGCUGGCGGGAGGCGGCGCAGCGGCAGCAGCAGCGUUACGGGCCCAGCCUGCGCCUGCUGCGAAUCAUCUACGAGCGACAGUGAGGCCACGCCCACCGGCCACGCCCACCCUAGCAAUGGCCACGCCCACCCUGAGCUCAACCACGCCCGCAUUGACCACACCCACCCUGAGCUCAACUGUGCCCACACUGGCCACGCCCACUCUGGCCACACCCACGGAAGCCACGCCCUCCCAGACCCCGCCCCCUCCGCAAUAAAAAACUCCUUCAUUUCC